rnacentral:tRNA from 1 species
AGCCCCGCGGUGGCAGCACAGCGAAAUGCAAGUUCGAAGAAGCACCCAUAAAGGGUGCCGGGGCUU